UGAGUACGAGAUGCUACGGCAUCGAAGCAGUCUAUGUCAUACUUCCAAGAAAAGCUUGCACUGUCAUAAACAAAGAAUGCCUGUACCAUAACCGACACAGGUGGGUAGGUAGAGUAUACUAAGGGGCGCGAGAUAACUCUCUCUAAGGAACUCGGCAAAAUGACUCCGUAACUUCGGGAGAAGGAGUGCCUUAUUUCUAAGGUUGCAAUAACAAGAUCCAAGCAACUGUUUACCAAAAACACAGGUCUCCGCUAAGUCGUAAGACGAUGUAUGGGGGCUGACGCCUGCCCAGUGCCAGAAGGUUAAAGAAGUUGGUUAGCAUUAGCGAAGCUGAUAACUGAAGCCCUGGUGAACGGCGGCCGUAACAAUAACGGUCCUAAGGUAGCGAAAUUCCUUGUCGGGUAAGUUCCGACCCGCACGAAAGGCGUAAUGAUUUGGAUACUGUCUCGGAGAGGGGCUCGAUGAAAUAGACUUGUCUGUGAAGAUGCGGACUACCUGCACCUGGACAGAAAGACCCUAUGAAGCUUUACUGUAACUUGAGAUUGAAAUUGGACUUUAUUUGCGCAGUAUAGGUGGGAGGCGUUGAGAAUAAUCUUGCGGGAUUGUUGGAGCCAUCAGUGAGAUACCACUCUUGUAAUGUUAGAUUUCUAACUUUGUAUCAUUAUCUGGUCAAAGAACAGUUUCAGGCGGGCAGUUUGACUGGGGCGGUCGCCUCCCAAAGGGUAACGGAGGCGCACAAAGGUUUCCUCUGAACGGGUAGAAAUCGUAUCUAGAGUGUAAAGGCAUAAGGAAGCUUGACUGUGAGACCUACAAGUCGAGCAGGGACGAAAGUCGGUCUUAGUGAUCUGACGGUGCUGAGUGGAAAGGCCGUCACUCAACGGAUAAAAGUUACUCUAAGGAUAACAGGCUGAUCUCCCCCAAGAGUUCACAUCGACGGGGAGGUUUGGCACCUCGAUGUCGGCUCAUCGCAUCCUGGGGCGGUAGUCCGUCCCAAGGGUUGGGCUGUUCGCCCAUGAAAGCGGUACGCGAGCUGGGUUCAGAACGUCGUGAGACAGUUCGGUCCAUAUCCGGUGUAGGCGUUAGAAUAUUGAGAGGAGCCUUCUCUAGUACGAGAGGACCGAGAAGGACAUACCUCUGGUGUACCAGUUAUCGUGCCAACGGUAAACGCUGGGUAGCUAUGUAUGGAGUGGAUAACCGCUGAAAGCAUCUAAGUGGGAAGCCCACCUCAAGAUAAGUAUUCUCGU
rnacentral:rRNA from 1 species